rnacentral:lncRNA from 1 species
CGGCUCCCAGACAGAGAGUGGGAGAAACCGGGGAGCAGCGGGAGCAGCAGGUCCGGGGGGAGCUGUUCCGCUGCGCUGCCCUCGUUAUUCACACGGACGCUGCGGAGCUUCCCAGGGCUGCUUCCCUGUCCCCCUGGGUGGAGGCUGCCGUCUAAACCUGACUCCAGAGUUUAAGAUGCAAUGGCCAGAAGACAUGAACGUGUCACUAGAAGGAUGUGGACAUGGGCUCCGGGACUGUUGAUGAUGACUGUGGUGUUUUGGGGUCAUCAGGGGAAUGGACAAGGCCAAGGUAAGUGCAAGGAUGUUCUAAUU